AACGUUUAAGCCUCUAGUGUCUCCAGUCAGUACACACGCUCUUAACUGCUCUGCCUGAAAGCCAAGUCCAUUAUCAGUGGUGUUUUCAUUUCGAGACUUGGCUCCAAGGAAUUGUCUACCCCAACUACUAUCGCAAAGGAGCUGUGCUCGGCUGCUCUUUCUGUAAUAAAGCACCCAUUACUUCUACAGGCCUAACACCCAUUUUUUUUUUCUUCAAAAGUAAACAAUGCAUGGAAACAGAGUAAGCUACAGAGCUUCAGCCAGGACCCGUGGAUGUUUCCAGCAGAAGUGACAAGACAGGAACCAUUUCCUGUGGCAACUCCGUCCUGGGAGCCACUCAGGUCACUUCAGCUGCUUUAUUAAGAUUGCGGAAAAUAUGGAAGCUGAGAGAGGCCUGGCCAUAAAUGAUAAGGGGACUGCCUAUGACAGUACAUGUUCAUCAUGUUGUGUUUGAUCUGGUACAGAUGAGGAAAAUCCGGAGGAGAGGGACCUGGAGGACCAGAGCCUCUGAGCAAGUGGGGGAAGAGCUUCAUGCAAGCAGGAUGCUUAAAAAUGAAUUUUGAAGAUGACAGUUCUCAUCAGAAACCUUAAAGACCUUUGAACAGUGGCGGAAGUCUCAUGUUGUGUGGCUAGAGUUUCUUCUCAGGAAGAUUUACGCACACUGGAAGCAGAUAGCAGCACAGUAUGGAGGCGUUUGUCACACUUUCCCUGCGAUUAGCUGAAGUAGAGGAGAAUGUAGGCGUCACACACAGCCUGGUGAUGCCGCCAAGGCUGGAAUCCAUCCUUUGCUUUAAGGAAUCUGAACUGCUUUUGAAAUAAACACAUCUGGAUUGGAGGUCAACCAUGUAAAUAAGAUCUAGACGCCUUGCUUCUGUCUGAAAAGAAAAUAUGGAGGAGCCGGCCAGGGUUUUCUGAGCAGGUCUUAAAGAAGUUGAACAUCACCAGCCUUCUCUUCCUUUACCUUUGUUGUUUAUUUUAUUUCUUCACAGAGGAAUCUGCGUCAUGUCUCCAACAUGUGUCCAAACAUGGCCCUUGGGUCUAAACAUGUUUACUCCUCAGUUCUUGUCAAACAGUCGGAUUUGGAAAAUGAGCGCCAAGCCUACAUCACUGCAUGCCGCAUGCCUCCCCAUCAACACGGACUUGGCAAGGACGAGUCUGUGUCGAGGGGUGACGGGGGCUUGCCUGGGGCUGUAAGCUCCACGAGGCAGCCUUGACUCCACUUUGCACCCCGACUCUAGCCCACUAAAGGAUACAGAAACAUUUGCUUCGUGCCUCAUUGCCUUUUAGAAAGCUUUAAAAACGAUAAUCAAGCCUUUCCAGCACAAAUUGAAAUGCCUCAACUGGCGACAUGUCAUUAGUGUGAAACAGUUUUCUUUGGCCAUGUUCUUGACUUUUUCCUGCUCUUAAAAACAAGUUGACUUUUAGCUUAUGUUCUGACUUCCAACGACUAUCUACUUUUCAAACAUUUCUUCUUUAGGGGACCUCUAAUUUUGAAAAUGCCAUGAGAAAAUAUUCUGUUAAGCCUGCAAGAGCAGAAGAGCCAUACGUGCAGUGUCUCAGCUUCAGGAAGACAUCACUCCCCUAAACACGAAAGCCAGUGUCCGAACAACCCAUAACAGACUCCACCCUGCUGACUUUGUGACGGAACUAUGGUCUCCACCAUUGAAU